rnacentral:rRNA from 1 species
CAGCACCGCGGUAAUACGUAGGUGGCAAGCGUUGUCCGGAAUUAUUGGGCGUAAAGGGCUCGCAGGCGGUUUCUUAAGUCUGAUGUGAAAGCCCCCGGCUCAACCGGGGAGGGUCAUUGGAAACUUGGAAACUUGAGUGCAGAAGAGGAGAGUGGAAUUCCACGUGUAGCGGUGAAAUGCGUAGAGAUGUGGAGGAACACCAGUGGCGAAGGCGACUCUCUGGUCUGUAACUGACGCUGAGGAGCGAAAGCGUGGGGAGCGAACAGGAUUAGAGACCCCCGUAGUCCCUGUCUUUAUACAC